ACUCCUACGGGAGGCAGCAGUGGGGAAUAUUGCACAAUGGGCGCAAGCCUGAUGCAGCCAUGCCGCGUGUAUGAAGAAGGCCUUCGGGUUGUAAAGUACUUUCAGCAGUGAGGAAGGCGGGUACGUUAAUAGCGUGCUCGUUUGACGUUAGCUGCAGAAGAAGCACCGGCUAACUCCGUGCCAGCAGCCGCGGUAAUACGGAGGGUGCGAGCGUUAUCCGGAAUCAUUGGGUUUAAAGGGUCCGUAGGUGGAUGAUUAAGUCAGAGGUGAAAUCCUGCAGCUCAACUGUAGAAUUGCCUUUGAUACUGGUUGUCUUGAAUUAUUGUGAAGUAGUUAGAAUAUGUGUGUAGCGGUGAAAUGCAUAGAUAUCACAUAGAAUACCGAUUGCGAAGGCAGAUUACUAACAAUACAUUGACACUGAUGGACGAAAGCGUGGGGAGCGAAACAGGAUUAGAUACCCUGGUAGGCUCUG
rnacentral:rRNA from 1 species